rnacentral:rRNA from 1 species
AUUGAACGCUGGCGGCAGGCCUAACACAUGCAAGUCGAACGAGUGGCGGACGGGUGAGUAAUGUCUGGGAAACUGCCUGAUGGAGGGGGAUAACUACUGGAAACGGUAGCUAAUACCGCAUACUAUCAGAUGUGCCCAGAUGGGAUUAGCUUGUUGGUGGGGUAACGGCUCACCAAGGCGACGAUCCCUAGCUGGUCUGAGAGUGUGACAAGCCACCAUGAAACUGGGACACGGUCCAGACUCCUACGGGAGGCAGCAUUGGGGAAUAUUGCACAAUGGGCGCAAGCCUGAUGCAGCCAUGCCGCUUGGAUAAAGAAGGCCUUCGGGUUGUAAAGUACUUUCAGCGGGGAGGCGUUACCCGCAGAAGAAGCACCGGCGAACUCCGUGCCAGCAGCCGCGGUAAUUC